ACGCACGCUGGCGGCGUGCUUAACCCCUGCACGUCGAACGGAAAGGCCCUGCUUGCAGGGUCCUCGAGUGGCGAACGGGUGAGUAACACGUGGGUGAUCUGCCCUGCACUUCGGGAUAAGCCUGGGAAACUGGGUCUAAUACCGGAUAGGAGCCAUUUUUAGUGUGAUGGUUGGAAAGUUUUUUCGGUGUAGGAUGAGCUCGCGGCCUAUCAGCUUGUUGGUGGGGUAAUGGCCUACCAAGGCGGCGACGGGUAGCCGGCCUGAGAGGGUGGACGGCCACAUUGGGACUGAGAUACGGCCCAGACUCCUACGGGAGGCAGCAGUGGGGAAUAUUGCACAAUGGGCGCAAGCCUGAUGCAGCGACGCCGCGUGGGGGAUGACGGCCUUCGGGUUGUAAACUCCUUUCGCUAGGGACGAAGCUUUUUGUGACGGUACCUAGAGAAGAAGCACCGGCUAACUACGUG
rnacentral:rRNA from 1 species